UGGAGCCGACCUUGAAAUACCACCCUUUAAUGUUUGAUGUUCUAACGUGGACCCGUGAUCCGGGUUGCGGACAGUGUCUGGUGGGUAGUUUGACUGGGGCGGUCUCCUCCUAAAGAGUAACGGAGGAGCACGAAGGUUGGCUAAUCCUGGUCGGACAUCAGGAGGUUAGUGCAAUGGCAUAAGCCAGCUUGACUGCGAGCGUGACGGCGCGAGCAGGUGCGAAAGCAGGUCAUAGUGAUCCGGUGGUUCUGAAUGGAAGGGCCAUCGCUCAACGGAUAAAAGGUACUCCGGGGAUAACAGGCUGAUACCGCCCAAGAGUUCAUAUCGACGGCGGUGUUUGGCACCUCGAUGUCGGCUCAUCACAUCCUGGGGCUGAAGUAGGUCCCAAGGGUAUGGCUGUUCGCCAUUUAAAGUGGUACGCGAGCUGGGUUUAGAACGUCGUGAGACAGUUCGGUCCCUAUCUGCCGUGGGCGCUGGAGAACUGAGGGGGGCUGCUCCUAGUACGAGAGGACCGGAGUGGACGCAUCACUGGUGUUCGGGUUGUCAUGCCAAUGGCACUGCCCGGUAGCUAAAUGCGGAAGAGAUAAGUGCUGAAAGCAUCUAAGCACGAAACUUGCCCCGAGAUGAGUUCUCCCUGAGACUUAAAGUCUCCUGAAGGAACGUUGAAGACGACGACGUUGAUAGGCCGGGUGUGUAAGCGCAGCGAUGCGUUGAGCUAACCGGUACUAAUGAACCGUGAGGCUUAACCCUACAACGCCGAAG
rnacentral:rRNA from 1 species